UACGUAGGGGGCAAGCGUUGUCCGGAUUUAUUGGGCGUAAAGAGCUCGUAGGUGGUUUGGUAAGUCGGAUGUGAAAUCUCCAGGCUCAACCUGGAGGGGUCAUUCGAUACUGCCAUGACUAGAGGUCGGUAGGGAGUGUGGAAGUUCCUGGUGGAGCGGUGAAAUGACGCAGAUAUCAGGAGGAACACCGGUGGCGAAGGCGGAUCUCUGGGCCUUGCCUGACGCUGAGGCGCGAAAGCUAGGGGAGCGAACAGG
rnacentral:rRNA from 1 species